ACAGGACCUAAGAACCAGAAGCCAGUUGCUGUAAACAAGCCUCCUAGCACCAUGAACCAUGGCCUCGUGGACUGCAAACACAACCAGAAGAACUUGACCAGGGCGUUCCUCAUGAUAGAGUCAGAGGGGAGUCCGGGGACACCAUGUCUCUCCAUCCCAGCUACUGCCAGGAGGUCCCCCUGCGAGCACCACUGGACCUCUACAUCUGAAGAGGAGAGGCUUCAGUCACAUCACGUUCAUACGGAAACAGGGACAGUUCCAGGACAUGCCGACGAUGCCAUCUGACUCAUGCAGGAGGACGUGGGCGAUCAUACGACCAUGGCAGUCCAUCACUAUCACCUGACCAUCAGCCGUACCAAACAACACCUGAAGUACAGUGGGCAGGAAGGAUUUUAUGAGAGAAAGCGUAUAUGGAGACAGUUUCCUGGACGUAGAUGAAGCCUUUGACUAAGAACAAAAUUUUCUCCAUUAUAGGGUGUAACAGGGUCCCACAUUAUUUUUAGUCCAGGACUAGACAUCAUCUGUGUCCUGGAAACCAACAGAUGAUUUAAUAUAUCAGGUGUAAAUGUAUCUGUAUGUAAAAGUGUAAUGCAUGUAACAAUGUUUUGUUUAGGUGUGAUAAGGGCUUCAUUAAUACAUGUAACAAUGUUUUGUUUAGGUGUGAUAAGGGCUUUAUUAAUACAUGGAAAGCAUUGAUUGAUUGAGGCGGUUUACCUGUUGGUCAUCAGGUGUCCAGAUGCCACAGGUGAUCUGGCUCUCCAGGUUAAUCUCUGAGGACCAGUGUCUCUGUCCGCUGACCGAGCCCACCAGGACAAACCCAUCCCGGUAGGCGAUCAGGGCCUGGCUACCGUCAUGAGACCAUGUGAAGUCACUCACCUGAUGGAGAAACACGAGAGGUACAAACUUACCUGGGCAGGUACAAACUUCCCUGGGCAGGUACAAACUUACCUGGGCAGGUACAAACUUACCUGGGCACCGCGGUCAUUCACUAACUCCACAGACCACCGUCCCUCAUAUUGAAUCCAGACGAAGAUGCCUCCCUCCAUGUCACACGUGGCCAGCUUCUGAAAGGGCUCAUUCCAACGGACCAACACAACCUUUAGAGAAAACACAAUGCAACUGCUAUUACACUCCACCAACACAGGGGUCUGUCUAGGAAUGUGAAUGUGGAAUACAGUUCAAUAUUCAACAUGAAAUAGGCCUACACUGUCCUGAUGGGAAAAACAACAAAACAGUGCAUUUCCUCCACCCCAGUUUCUGAUGGUACAGUCAGCACAGAAGUGAGCUCUGACAAAAGCUACACAAUAAUUGAAAGUUUUCAGAGAAUUUUUUAAAAUAUAUAUACACAUACAAUAAUUUGAGAGAUAUAUAUAUUUACAUACUAUACAUACUUCACACUAACACACAUCAAAUUAUUUUCUAAUGGUUGCCCAGUUCUCUGCCUAAUAAGAUAUUGAAAACACAAAAAUGACAAAGCCGGCCCACACACCUCACUGUUGUGUCCUCGCAGGUUGAAGUUGAUUCUCUGAGGGGUGUUCCUGUCUCUCCUGCAGUGGCUGGAUGUGAACGUUACGCCCACCACCCCUCUCCCGUUCCCUGUGGCCAGCCAGCCCUCCUCAUAGUAGCGCCGCUGGCACACCGGCUUGUCCUUCUCGCUCUUGGGGACCCGGCCCUUCCAGGAGAGGCAGAGGAUGUUGGAGUCGCUGCAGAGGAUGGGACCAUGUUCCACAGCAGCUAACAUCCUUACUGAGUGACCAGGCUAGGAGUUAAACAGAGGAGGAGAACAUAGUAACCUUUAUUUGUGUGUGUUUUAUGUGUUUCCUAUGUUCUUGAUUAAAGCAUUUGUGUCUCUAA